rnacentral:rRNA from 1 species
CAGCCAGCCGCGGUAAUUCCCAGCACCAAUAGCGUAUAUUAAAGUUGUUGCAGUUUAAAAAGCUCGUAGUUGAACUUCGGGGUUUUACCCAUUGGUCAGGCUUAAUUGUUCUGCACUGGUGAGAUGAAUCUCUACCUUCUGAGGAACUUUCAUGCCAUUUAUUUGGUGUGAUGGGAAAUCAGGACUGUUACUUUGAAAAAAUUAGAGUGUUUAAAGCAGGCUAACGUCUGAAUACAUUAGCAUGGAAUAAUGAAAUAGGACGGACUGAUUCUAUUUCGUUGGUUUCUAGGAUCACCGUAAUGAUUAAUAGGGACAGUUGGGGGCAUUAGUAUUCAAUUGUCAGAGGUGAAAUUCUUGGAUUUAUUGAAGACUAACUACUGCGAAAGCAUUUGCCAAGGAUGUUUUCAUUAAUCAAGAACGAAAGUUAGGGGAUCGAAGACGAUCAGAUACCGUCGUAGUCUUAACCAUAAACUAUGCCGACUAGGGAUCGGACGAAGUUAAUUUUAUAAUGACGCGUUCGGCACCUUACG